CAUUGUCUCAUUUCACACUGCCAUGUUUGUUUUGUAUACUAGAAUAUACAGAAUAUUUUGCCUCUUGCAAGCUGUAAAUGGUACUCAAUCAUUUGUUAAACCAAGACUGCUUGGCUGAUAGUGAUGGUGGUUUUAUUCCAGAAUUCACUAGUCAUUCAUUUAUAUACCUUUGUGUAUUUUAUUUUUUUUGGUUUGCUUCCCUUAAUCAACAUAAACUUAAAAUUAUUUAUUUUGUGAUAAUUUUAGGGUGAGCGGUAUCGAACCUUAAAGUACCUAAUAGUGAUUACAAAGCUUAACAUCUAUAUGGUUCUGUAUGUGCUUGGAGGUGCACCUUAUUUUAUUAUUAAAACCAAAGCAAUGCGUAAGCGCUAAAUAACACAAUAAAGCAGCAACCCUAUAAGGGAUUCCCUCAAAAAACCCUUAAACGUAACACAAAGCAAAAAUAAAUAGA